ensembl:lncRNA
UUUAGGUUUGACCUAAAUCAAAUGUUUUAUGACUAUACAGUGGAAGUGAGAAAUAGAUUUAAGGUACUAGAUCUGAUAGGCAGAGUGCCUGAUGAACUAUGGAUGGAGGUUUGUGACAUUGUACAGGAGACAGGGAGCAAGACCAUCCCCAAGAAAAAGAAAUGCAAAAAAGCAAAAUGGCUGUCUGAGGAGGCCUUACAAAUAGCUGUGAAAAGAAGAGAAGUGUAAAGCAAAGGAGAAAAAGAAAGAUAUACCCAUUUGAAUGCAGAGUUCCAAAGAAUAGCAAGGAGAGAUAAGAAAGCCUUCCUCAGUGAUCAAUGCAAAGAAAUAGAGGAAAACAACAGAAUGGGAAAGACCAGAGAUCUCUUCAAGAAAAUUAGAGAUACCAAGGGAACAUAUGCAAAAAUGGGCUCAAUAAAGGACAGCAAUGGUAUGGACCUAACAGAAGAAGAAGAUAUUAAGAGGUGGCAAGAAUACACAGAAGAACUGUACAAAAAAGAUCUUCACGACCCAGAUAAUCAUGAAGGUGUGAUCACUCAUCUAGAGCCAGAUAUCCUGGAAUGUGAAGUCAAGUGGGCCUUAGGAAGCAUCACUGUGAACAAAGCUAGUGGAGGUGAUGGAAUUCCAGUUGAGCUAUUUCAAAUCUUGAAAGAUGAUACUGUGAAAGUGCUGUACUCAAUAUGCCAGCAAAUUUGGAAAACUCAGCGGUGGCCACAGGACUGGAAAAUGUCAGUUUUCUUUCCAAUUCCAAAGAAAGGCAAUGCCAAAGAAUGCUCAAACUACCGCACAAUUGCACUCAUCUCACAUGCUAGUAAAGUAAUGCUCAAAAUUCUCCAAGCCAG